UUGAACGCUGGCGGCAUGCCUUACACAUGCAAGUCGAACGGUAACGGGCCUUCGGGUGCCGACGAGUGGCGACCGGGUGAGUAAUACAUCGGAACAUGCCCGAUCGUGGGGGAUAACGAGGCGAAAGCUUUGCUAAUACCGCAUACGAUCUACGGAUGAAAGCAGGGGACCGCAAGGCCUUGCGCGGACGGAGCGGCCGAUGGCAGAUUAGGUAGUUGGUGGGAUAAAAGCUUACCAAGCCGACGAUCUGUAGCUGGUCUGAGAGGAUGAUCAGCCACACUGGGACUGAGACACGGCCCAGACUCCUACGGGAGGCAGCAGUGGGGAAUUUUGGACAAUGGGCGCAAGCCUGAUCCAGCCAUGCCGCGUGCAGGAUGAAGGCCUUCGGGUUGUAAACUGCUUUUGUACGGAACGAAAAGCCUUCUUUUAAUACAGGAGGGUCAUGACGGUACCGUAAGAAUAAGCACCGGCUAACUACGUG
rnacentral:rRNA from 1 species